rnacentral:rRNA from 1 species
GAUGAACGCUGGCGGCGUGCCUAAUACAUGCAAGUCGAGCGAACAGACGAGGAGCUUGCUCCUCUGACGUUAGCGGCGGACGGGUGAGUAACACGUGGAUAACCUACCUAUAAGACUGGGAUAACUUCGGGAAACCGGAGCUAAUACCGGAUAAUAUAUUGAACCGCAUGGUUCAAUAGUGAAAGACGGUUUUGCUGUCACUUAUAGAUGGAUCCGCGCCGCAUUAGCUAGUUGGUAAGGUAACGGCUUACCAAGGCAACGAUGCGUAGACGACCUGAGAGGGUGAUCGGCCACCCUGGAACUGAGACACGGUCCAGACUCCUACGGUAGGCAGCAGUAGGGAAUCUUCCGCAAUGGGCGAAAGCCUGACGGAGCAACGCCGCGUGAGUGAUGAAGGUCUUCGGAUCGUAAAACUCUGUUAUUAGGGAAGAACAAAUGUGUAAGUAACUAUGCACGUCUUGACGGUACCUAAUCAGAAAGCCACGGCUAACUACGUG